GGCUGCCUUUAAAUCUUGACCACAAAUUUGCCACGAAGUAGUGGCAAUGUGAUAUGAAGAAUGUAGUAAAUGGGAUGCUCUGAAAAGUUGAUUCAUUUUGAACACCAAGCUAAAGAUAUGGUGCAUUUGGUACUGUGAUGGAUCAUGAAGAGAGAGCCUUUUCCCUUUCUCCUUGAAUUGAGUUCAUCUUGAUAUAUUUUGGUGACACAAUGUGGUGGAAGUCAUGCUGUGUAAUGAUACCUCUUGGAACUCUGUAAGAAGCCCAAGAAACAUGAAGAGAUCUUGUGGAGGAGAACCCAGGUGCUCAGUCACAGACCCCAGCUGAGCCUCCAGCGGCGUGUGAGGGAGCCGUCUUGGAUUCCAGCCCAGGCCAGUCCCUGCAGUGCAGCCCCAGCUGACAGCAUGUGCAGUGGAGGAACCUCUUAGCUGAGGCAAUUAACUCACAGUAUCUUUAGGGAGAAAAUGAUGACUGUGGUUGUUCUAAACACUGAGUUUGGAGUGCUCUGCUAUGUAUCAAAACCCAUACAGACAUGAAUACUCUACAAGUUU